CCGUUAACGAACGAGACCUCGGCCUGCUAAAUAGUUUAGCGAAUCCUCCGGGAUUCGUCUACUUAACUUCUUAGAGGGACUAUCGGUGAUUUAGCCGAUGGAAGUUCGAGGCAAUAACAGGUCUGUGAUGCCCUUAGAUGUUCUGGGCCGCACGCGCGCUACACUGAUACGUUCAUCGAGCUUACAACCUUGGUUGAGAGGCCUGGGUAAUCUUUUGAAACCGUAUCGUGCUGGGGAUAGAUUAUUGUAAUUUUUAAUCUUCAACGAGGAAUUCCUAGUAAACGCUGGUCAUCAGCCAGCAUUGAUUACGUCCCUGCCCUUUGUACACACCGCCCGUCGCUAAUACCGAUUGAAUGGGUC
rnacentral:rRNA from 1 species